GCAUCCCAGGUCAUGCACAGGAUCCAAGAAUCGGUGGCUUCUGGUGUAUUCAUCCCACAGUGCCUCUUAAUAACAAGUGGAUUCCUACAAAUGCGAUGAGCAUCACAACUUUGGCUGACCUUGGUCUGGGUGCACAUGUCUCACUGGUGGGUUUGGCUCCUGUGGGAAAUUGGCUUCUUGUGGGGUUGGUGGAGGCUGGGUCUCUUCAGGACCCACCGUGGUCUCAGCUUCAGAACAAUGCUCGACCAACUAAGUCCACCCAGACAGGAGCUGGAUGUCUUCAAGAAUCACCAGGAGAACUGAUAAACAAGAUUAUACUGUAUAGCACAGGGAAAUAUAUACAAGAUCUUAUGGUAACUCACAGAG